rnacentral:rRNA from 1 species
UACGUAGGGUGCGAGCGUUGUUCGGAGUUACUGGGCGUAAAGAGUGCGUAGGCGGUUUUCUAAGUUUGGUGUGAAAUCUCCCGGCUUAACUGGGAGGGUGCGCCGAAGACUGGAAGGCUUGAGUAUGGGAGAGGUAAGCGGAAUUCCUGGUGUAGCGGUGAAAUGCGUAGAUAUCAGGAGGAACACCUGCGGUGUAGACGGCUUACUGGACCAUAACUGACGCUGAGGCACGAAAGCGUGGGUAGCAAACAGG